CAGAGAGCACAGAUUUUUUUGAUUAUGUAGAUUUCUUUUCCUACUGCAGUUUCAUAUGCAAAGCAUGCAUCGGCCACAUCCAUGCUAUCUCCUAAAGCAGUCAUUCUGAAACCCAAUCUGGGGACAGUGCAGACUAAAUAAAAUUUCAUUUUGAUUUGGCCUCCCGCUGCGAACGGGACUGCUUUGUCUCGGCCGACAGAACCAGCAAGCCAGAAAGGUACCGAAACUGGGAACCGAUGUUCCUCUGGAACCAGCAUGAAAACUCCACAAAAUCCCUAGUUUGUCUCCACAGUGUUCUUAUUCCAAGUGUGCUGAGAGAAAAGGCCAGACAUGGAUACCUUAAUUUUGUAAAACAGAAAGAUUUCGCCGGAGAAGAAAGUUACCAUCGGGACGCUGUACUUCUCCAGUUUCACGCUCGCUCUGGAUUUCCCUCCUGCCCCCCCUUCUCCCCCCAGCAGCACUAAAAGCAAAAGGAUGGUGUGAGGGAAACACAAAGAAGGUCCCUUGCAGAGAAACACAUCCUGACAUCAAGCAUUUUCAUCACGGCUGACAGAGAAAUGGCAUGUUCAAUUUGCACUUUAUUUACAAACGCUAAACAUCUACGCACACAUGCCUACCCACCUUUCAUAUCCCUGUAUCUGAAACCCAAGCGAGGAAAACAGCCCAUGCGCGUGAAGCAAGCGAGGGAAUGUGCCGCUGCCUCAUCCAGCACGUUUACAAAUGGACCAACCACAAAUACACCACAGGGAAAUGUGCUUCUCUGUGUGCCAAAAUGCCAGGAUGUUAAUUCACAGAUAUCUCUGUUCAGCGUGUUGGUGUAACUGAGAUAAAUGCCAAGCUGGCUCCCUGCUGUGCGUGGUCCGACACCCCUUGGCCAUAGAGAUUCCAGCUAUUUAAGUUUGGAAAUGACAUUUCUUCACACGUCUUCCAAGAUAGCAAUGUAUGUCAAUCACCGGGAGCUCUGCCAAUGACAAUGCCAAUGGAUUUGAAUUUCCCAUUCAUGCUAGGGUGAAGGGGCUAUCUCUUUGACUUCUCCGACUGGGGCCUUUCAUCUCACCCAGGAAAGUUUAUUUCCCAAGGAAUUUUCUUUGUGGUCUCAAACUUGAAUGACCUUCCUUUUAUAACCUCUGAUAUCACCCAGGGUUUUAUUGCCAGGAAGUACCUCUUAGUUGACAUGCUUAAUACUGGGUUCCUGUGAUCUAUUCUAGGGAACCCCGAAACUUAGAGAGAAAACUGAGGAAAAUGAUCUGGUUUCCAGGUUUGGGAAUACCACUGAACCACUGACCCUUAAGGAUACAUGGAAAAAUAACCUGUAACAUUCAAAUUCUACAAAAUACAUUGUGUUCAUACAACCGGAAGGUAUCUCCAUAUAUCAAUAUGAUUGUGGAGUUUUGUGAAAUGCUGUGUGCAUCAUGGACGCCGAAAUACUGUGGAUACCUCUCAAAUGCAUAGCAAUUUGUCUCCAUGGGUCACUCACAAAUAUCAGAUGGUAAUAGGUCAAGUAUGAGGGGAGAGAGAUAAUCUGCACAACAGUCACGUUUCUCUCAUAUUUGCACACACCUUAGCCUUUAGGUGGCCCGAAGAUUUUUUCCACAUACGCAGUUUGCAAAUGUGGUUUGAAGGGGUGAGCGAUGCUAUUGUCAUCCAAGGGAAGGUAGUUUUAGGAAAAAGCAAGAGAUGUGAGCUUGAAGGAACAUUCUACCCAUCCUUCCUCUUUACCACACCCCAGUGACAAGAAGGAUACCUAGUUGGCCUCCCUAGGUACCCUCCUGUCCUGGCAGAAUAUCUAAGAGCAAUGCAGGGCUGCUUCCACCCACCUGACCAGCUCUCACAUCGAGGAAGAAAAAGGGACAGCUUAUCUAAUAACAAGACUUACUGUUCUGAAAGGAACUCCUAUUUUUCUCUGCUUGGACCAGGAGAGGCUUGUUGUCCAUCCUGGGUGUGGCCAUCCUCACCAAGGGCUAUGGAAAACGUCUCUGGGAAGUUCCAAACCAAUAAGCAAAGAUUUGGCAAAUCCCUGUGUUCCUCAGACUAAUAACGUCUUCAAAAGAGGGACAUAUUAGUCAACUCUGAUAAAAUACUUGAGAUGAUCAACUUAGAAGAAAAAAUAUUAUUUCAGAGCUACUAAUGCAUGGUGGGUUAACCCUGCUAUUUUUUGUAAAGUAACAUCUCAUAGGAGGGCAGCAGAGCCUAGAUCCAAACCUAAGAAAUGAGAGGUCCCCUUUAAAGGCACGCCUUCAUUGGCCUGAAACCCCUUUCUAGAAGCAGUGGGCUGAUGAUCCCAUUUUCUAACCCACAGGGCUUUUGAGGACAUCUCAGAAUCAAGCUAAGAGAGAAACAAUCCUAAGGCCCAAAUCCUUAAGACUAUUGCAGACUGGUUCUCACAUUUCUCAGGAAGUGUUCUGUCUCCCUUUGAGCUUCACUGAAUGUGUUCCUAGUGCAGAGUCAGUUUUACAGUAUUUGACUUUCUGACUAGUAUUUUUGGUCUGGUGGUUUAGGGUGGCCACUAAAAACCCCACCUUUCCCUUUGGCCUUGGCAGCUAUGAAAAACUCAGAAGAGACAGAAAUGCAACUGAAAACGUCCAGCUGCAAUGUGACUUCUAAGCUGAUGAUUUAAGAAUCUGGUUUACCUCCUGUCCACACCUGGUCCCUCCAGGUCUGAGUCCCACACAGGCUACUACUGUCAUGCUCAGAGCCGACUCUCAAACUCUACUGCCCACCCCAGAAGGUGGAAAUGUUUCUCCUUUAUUUUUCCAAUACUGGAAAAGUGAACCAAAAGUUCUUUCUCUCUAGGGGAAGACAUAAAACUAAAACUAAACACUACAACCAAAAUGCUUGACCAGAGUGCCUGCCAUGCACAGUAGACUCCCAAUCUGCAUAGCUUCAUUACAGGUCUGACUGUUGCAACUAUGGUUGAAUAUGAAAAUUUAUAGCACCUUCAGUUUCCAAGGAAUUUUUUUUCUAAACAAAAUGAAAUAUUCUACUUACCAAUCUGGAAAUGAUACUCAGUUUAUUAAAAAUGCCUGCCAGUUCUUUGACCAUAGUCCUGGGAGGAGGAAAAAAAAACCUCAAUGAUACAGACCCAGCUUCUUGAACAAGCAGACCCACUAUGUGAGUUUCUAAGUAAGCAGACCCAUGGCAGGCUUCUUAGUCCCACUGUGUGGGUUUUUAAGCGAGAAAAACUUGUAUACCUCUGCCCUCAGCUCUGCUCCUUCAGCUCCUUCACAGUCAGAGUUGGAAGCUAAUAAAGUAGCCAAACAAAGGAACAAACCACAGUACCUCCUUCCCCCAAGCUACCUGGAAGCUCCAGGGCAGUAGUCUAGGUACACGGUGUCCACAUUACAUCCUACCAGUGCCUACACAGAUGUAGCUGGGGGAGGCUGAUAUACAAACAAACAAGGGUGCGAGUGGGCUGUACAUAGAGGAAGAGAUGGCUUCGCUAGAUGCCUUUCAGAUGCAGUUAUCCCAUACAGCCCUCAGAUGACACACAAUAUUACAUCUAAGAGUGUUCUGUGGACUGUGUUAGCGUGUUAGCAUGUUAGCAUUCCAUCUAGGCUCCAUCCAACAGUUACCUAUCAACCUUCAGGUAGGCCUGGCUUGCUAUGAAAGGGACUAU
rnacentral:lncRNA from 1 species